rnacentral:rRNA from 1 species
GUAGGUGGCAAGCGUUGUCCGGAAUUAUUGGGCGUAAAGCGCGCGCAGGGCGGUCCUUUAAGUCUGAUGUGAAAGCCCACGGCUCAACCGUGGAGGGUCAUCGGAAACUGGGGGACUUGAGUACAGAAGAGGAAAGCGGAAUUCCAAGUGUAGCGGUGAAAUGCGUAGAGAUUUGGAGGAACACCAGUGGCGAAGGCGGCUUUCUGGUCUGUAACUGACGCUGAGGCGCGAAAGCGUGGGGAGCAAACAGGAUUAGAUACCCUGGUAGUCCACGCCGUAAACGAUGAGUGCUAAGUGUUAGGGGGUUUCCGCCCCUUAGUGCUGCAGCUAACGCAUUAAGCACUCCGCCUGGGGAGUACGGCCGCAAGGCUG